rnacentral:lncRNA from 1 species
CAUUUUGCAUAUAUAAAUUAUAAUAUAAUUAAUAACCUAUGAUUUUUUGGUAUUAAAAAAGAAGGAAUUAAUUAAACCACACACGCACGGGUCUGUGUCCUUUAUGAGUUGUCCCUACUCAGUAAUGAUUCAAAGCCUUUUCUGGGACCACAUGGGUUGCACGUGCAAUCACACCACUCACAUUUUUGGUUUCUACUAUUUUCUUCUUCCCCUUUUUGCCUUUCUGCCCAUAUGCCUUUGCUUUUCCCUUAUUCUCACUAUUUUAUUAUUAUUAUUAUUAUUAUUAUUAUUGAUUCCACUCCCACUCUUUCUCUAAUUCUACAUCUUCACUUUUUCAUAUUACCUUUUCUUUUCUUUUUUUGAAAUCUUUUGUCCCUUUUCGUGUUGACGAAUAUUAGUGAAAUGAAGAUUUAAUCGAAGUCUAUUUAUUUAAAAUAUUUUUAUACAUAUAAAUAUAACUGCCUUUUACAUCCUUUCUGCCAGGUAAUAGUAAGCUAAUACCGUAUUAUUGAUAGUUUAAUAUUCCUAUUUCUGUUGACCUGAAGCUUUUGAAAAGGAUGAAAAUGGAGUUUUUCUUUUUUUCUUUUUCAUUGUCUCUGAUCUUAAUGAAGUUAAACCAGAAACUCUCUGGUACCCGAUUUAAUAAUUUCCUAUGCUAUUUGUUUAAAGAACUUACUCCAGUUGACAAGAAGGAUUCUUUUGUUCACAGAAUGUUUUACACAAUAAGUUUAAUGGUUUGGCAGGAAGUUUAAAGAAAAAUCAAUCUUUGAAGGAAGGAACCCUUUUUGAUCCGGAGAACAUUCUGGGUGCAGAAAAAGAAAAGAGAUAAAGUUUCCUUCCUAGGCAAGCGCACCAUGCAGUAAUUGGCGUUCAACUUUGUGUGUGUGUGGUAUAAAUAUUGAUAAAUCAAGACAGGCGGUACAAAAACUGAGAGAUGUACAGAGAGCAGCAUCCGACCUUUGGGUCACCAUGGAGGUUAGGUAGGCAUGGUUCGACCAAUAAAGCCUUGGUGGUCCUCUCCUGGGCUCCAAAUACGCC